rnacentral:rRNA from 1 species
GUGAACGCUGGCGGUAGGCCUAACACAUGCAAGUCGAACGGCAGCACAGUAAGAGCUUGCUCUUACGGGUGGCGAGUGGCGGACGGGUGAGGAAUACAUCGGAAUCUACUUUUUCGUGGGGGAUAACGUAGGGAAACUUACGCUAAUACCGCAUACGACCUACGGGUGAAAGCAGGGGAUCUUCGGACCUUGCGCGAUUGAAUGAGCCGAUGUCGGAUUAGCUAGUUGGCGGGGUAAAGGCCCACCAAGGCGACGAUCCGUAGCUGGUCUGAGGGGAUGAGCAGCCACACUGGAACUGCGACACGGUCCAGACUCCUACGGGAGGCAGCAGUGGGGAAUAUUGGACAAUGGGCGCAAGCCUGAUCCAGCCAUACCGCGUGGGUGAAGAAGGCCUUCGGGUUGUAAAGCCCUUUUGUUGGGAAAGAAAAGCAGCAGGUUAAUACCCCGCUGUUCUGACGGUACCCAAAGAAUAAGCACCGGCUAACUUCGUG